AGUGAACGCUGGCGGUAGGCCUAACACAUGCAAGUCGAACGGCAGCACAGGAGAGCUUGCUCUCUGGGUGGCGAGUGGCGGACGGGUGAGGAAUACAUCGGAAUCUACUCUGUCGUGGGGGAUAACGUAGGGAAACUUACGCUAAUACCGCAUACGACCUACGGGUGAAAGCAGGGGACCUUCGGGCCUUGCGCGAUUGAAUGAGCCGAUGUCGGAUUAGCUAGUUGGCGGGGUAAAGGCCCACCAAGGCGACGAUCCGUGGCUGGUCUGAGAGGAUGAUCAGCCACCUUGGAACUGUGACACGGUCCAGACUCCUACGGGAUGCAGCAGUGGCGAAUAUUGGACAAUGGGCCCGAGCCUGAUCCAGCCAUACCGCGUGGGUGAAGAAGGCCUUCGGGUUGUAAAGCCCUUUUGUUGGGAAAGAAAUCCAGCGGGCUAAUACGCGGUUGGGAUGACGGUACCCAAAGAAUAAGCACCGGCUAACUUCGUGCCAGCCGCCGCAGUAA
rnacentral:rRNA from 1 species